CGUGGAUUAGGCAUGCAAGUCGAGCGAGAAGUUUACUUCGGUAAAUGGACAGCGGCGAAAGGGACAGUAAUGUGUAGGUACCUACCCCCCGAUCUGGGAUAGCUGCGGGAAACUGCAGGUAAUACCGGAUAAUGUCUUCGGACCAAAGGUGUGAUUCCGUCAGGGGAGGGGCCUGCAUCCUAUUAGCUUGUUGGUGAGGUAAUGGCUCACCAAGGCAACGAUGGGUAGCGGGUGUGAGAGCAUGACCCGCGUCAUUGGGACUGAGACACUGCCCAGAAAUCUACGGAUGGCUGCAGUCGAGAAUCUUCGGCAAUGGGCGAAAGCCUGACCGAGCGACGCCGCGUGCGGGAUGAAGGCCUUCGGGUUGUAAACCGCUGUCGUUGGGGAGGAAAUGCAAAAGGGUUAUCCCUUCUGUUUGACCGAUCCAAGGAGGAAGUACGGGCUAAGUUCGUGCCAGCAGCCGCGGUAAGACGAACCGUACGAACGUUAUUCGGAAUUACUGGGCUUAAAGGGUGCGUAGGCUGCACGGAAAGUUGGGUGUGAAAGCCCUCAGCUCAACUGAGGAAUUGCAUCCAAAACUGCCGUGCUUGAGGGAGACAGAGGUGAGCGGAACUCAAGGUGGAGCGGUGAAAUGCGUUGAUAUCUUGAGGAACACCGGUGGCGAAAGCGGCUCGCUGGGUCUCUUCUGACGCUGAGGCACGAAAGCUAAGGUAGCAAACGGGAUUAGAUACCCCGGUAGUCUUAGCUGUAAACGAUGAGCACUUGAUUGGAGGGUCCUCCAUAGCCUUCCAGUCGUAGCGAAAGUGUUAAGUGCUCCGCCUGGGGAGUAUGGUCGCAAGGCUGAAACUCAAAGAAAUCGACGGGGGCUCACACAAGCGGGGGAGGAU
rnacentral:rRNA from 1 species